UGGGGAAUAUUGGACAAUGGGCGCAAGCCUGAUCCAGCCAUGCCGCGUGAGUGAUGAAGGCCCUAGGGUUGUAAAGCUCUUUCACCGGUGAAGAUAAUGACGGUAACCGGAGAAGAAGCCCCGGCUAACUUCGUGCCAGCAUCCGCGGUAAUACGAAGGUGGCUAGCGUUGUUCGGAUUUACUGGGCGUAAAGCGCACGUAGGCGGACUUUUAAGUCAGGGGUGAAAUCCCGGGGCUCAACCCCGGAACUGCCUUUGAUACUGGAAGUCUUGAGUAUGGUAGAGGUGAGUGGAAUUCCGAGUGUAGAGGUGAAAUUCGUAGAUAUUCGGAGGAACACCAGUGGCGAAGGCGGCUCACUGGACCAUUACUGACGCUGAGGUGCGAAAGCGUGGGGAGCAAACAGG
rnacentral:rRNA from 1 species